GUUGUAUAGUCAAGUAAUUAAGUGCAUGUGGUGGAUGCCUUGGCAGUCAGAGGCGAUGAAAGACGUGAUAGCCUGCGAAAAGCUCCGGGGAGGCGGCAAAUAUCCUUUGAUCCGGAGAUGUCUGAAUGGGGGAACCCACCUACUUUAAGGUAGGUAUUGCAACAUGAAUACAUAGUGUUGCAAGGCGAACGAGGGGAAGUGAAACAUCUCAGUACCCUUAGGAAAAGAAAUCAAUUGAGAUUCCCUCAGUAGCGGCGAGCGAACGGGGAUCAGCCCAUUAAGUUAUGUGUGU
rnacentral:rRNA from 1 species